UGCGUAGGUGACAAGCGUUGUCCGGAUUUACUGGGCGUAAAGAGCGCGCAGGCGGUCGUUCAAGUCGAGUGUGAAAGCCCCCGGCUCAACUGGGGAGGGUCACUCGAUACUGAUCGACUUGAAGGCAGGAGAGGGAAGCGGAAUUCCCGGUGUAGUGGUGAAAUGCGUAGAUAUUGGGAGGAACACCAGUGGCGAAGGCGGCUCACUGGACCGGAACUGACGCUGAUGCGCGAAAGCGUGGGGAGCAAACGGG
rnacentral:rRNA from 1 species